AUGUACACCAAGGCGGACGCCAAGGAGGCACGAGAAGACGUCGUCGACCUGCUGGAGGAGGGCCGGCUGUUGGCACUCACCCGGUCCGCCAUCUACCAGCAGAGUCUGCGCCGAUACUACAACCGCAAGGUGAAGCCAAGAUCCUUCCAAGAGGGAGGCCUUGUGCUCCGGCUGAUCCAGCGAACAGCCGGCCAGCACAAGCUCUCGACACCUUGGGAAGGCCCUUUUAUCAUCAGCAAGGUGCUGGGCAACGAUUCCUACUAUCUGAUUGACACUCAGAAGCCCACAACAUGCAAAAGAGAUGACUCAGGCAAGGAGAUGGAGAGACCAUGGAACGCAAACCUCCUCCAAAGAUUUUACAGUUGA
rnacentral:rRNA from 1 species